GAAGAAGCACCGGCUAACUCCGUGCCAGCAGCCGCGGUAAUACGGAGGGUGCGAGCGUUAAUCGGAAUUACUGGGCGUAAAGGGUGCGUAGGUGGUUUAUUAAGUUAUCUGUGAAAUCCCCGGGCUUAACCUGGGCAAGUCAGAUAAAACUGGUAGACUCGAGUAUGGGAGAGGGUAGUGGAAUUUCCGGUGUAGCGGUGAAAUGCGUAGAGAUCGGAAGGAACACCAGUGGCGAAGGCGGCUACCUGGCCUAAUACUGACACUGAGGCACGAAAGCGUGGGGAGCAAACAGGAUUAGAUACCCUGGUAGUCCACGCUGUAAACGAUGUCAACUAGUUGUUGGUCAUAUGAAUGUGGUCAGUGACGAAGCAAACGCGAUUAAGUUGACA
rnacentral:rRNA from 1 species